ACACGAAUCACUGGGGGAUCUUGUCAGAAUACAGAUUCUGAUUCAGUCGCUCCAGGAUGAGCCAUUCUUGAUAGUCUGCAUUUCUAACAAGCUCCCAGGUGAUCACAUU
rnacentral:pre_miRNA from 1 species